rnacentral:rRNA from 1 species
GACGAACGCUGGCGGCGUGCUUAACACAUGCAAGUCGAACGAAGAGCGAUGGAAGCUUGCUUCUAUCAAUCUUAGUGGCGAACGGGUGAGUAACGCGUAAUCAACCUGUCCUUCAGAGGGGGACAACAGUUGGAAACGACUGCUAAUACCGCAUACGAUCUAACCUUGGCAUCGAGGAUGGAUGAAAGGUGGCCUCUAUUUAUAAGCUAUCACUGAAGGAGGGGAUUGCGUCUGAUUAGCUAGUUGGAGGGGUAACGGCCCACCAAGGCGAUGAUCAGUAGCCGGUCUGAGAGGAUGAACGGCCACAUUGGGACUGAGACACGGCCCAGACUCCUACGGGAGGCAGCAGUGGGGAAUCUUCCGCAAUGGACGAAAGUCUGACGGAGCAACGCCGCGUGAGUGAUGACGGCCUUCGGGUUGUAAAGCUCUGUUAAUCGGGACGAAAGGCCUUCUUGCGAAUAGUUAGAAGGAUUGACGGUACCCGGAAUAGAAAAGCC